rnacentral:pre_miRNA from 1 species
CUUAUACUCCCUCUGUCCGGAAAUACUUGUCAUCAAAAUGGAUAAAAGGGGAUGUAUCUAGACGUAUUUUAGUUCUAGAUACAUCUCUUUUUAUCCAUUUUGAUGACAAGUAUUUUCGGAUGGAGGGAGUACUUU